rnacentral:rRNA from 1 species
AACGAACGCUGGCGGCAUGCCUAACACAUGCAAGUCGAACGAAGCCUCCGGGCUUAGUGGCGCACGGGUGCGUAACGCGUGGGAAUCUGCCCUUUGGUUCGGAAUAACAGUUGGAAACGACUGCUAAUACCGGAUGAUGACGAAAGUCCAAAGAUUUAUCGCCAGAGGAUGAGCCCGCGUAGGAUUAGCUAGUUGGUGUGGUAAAGGCGCACCAAGGCGACGAUCCUUAGCUGGUCUGAGAGGAUGAUCAGCCACACUGGGACUGAGACACGGCCCAGACUCCUACGGGAGGCAGCAGUGGGGAAUAUUGGACAAUGGGCGAAAGCCUGAUCCAGCAAUGCCGCGUGAGUGAUGAAGGCCCUAGGGUUGUAAAGCUCUUUUACCCAGGAUGAUAAUGACAGUACCGGGAGAAUAAGCCCCGGCUAACUCCGUGCCAGCCGCCGCGGUAA